AUUGAACGCUGGCGGCAUGCUUUACACAUGCAAGUCGGACGAGUGGCGAACGGGUGAGUAACGCAUCGGAACGUACCGAGUAAUGGGGGAUAACUGUCCGAAAGGACAGCUAAUACCGCAUAUUAUUCGAGCGGCCGAUGUCUGAUUAGCUGGUUGGCGGGGUAAAGGCCCACCAAGGCGACGAUCAGUAGCGGGUCUGAGAGGAUGAUCCGCCACACGGGAACUGAGAUACGGUCGAGACUCCUACGGGAGGCAGCAGUGGGGAAUAUUGCACAAGGGUCGCAAGCCUGUUGCAGCCAUGCCGCGUGUGUGAAGAAGGCCUGCGGGUUGUAAAGCACUUUCAGCGGGGAGGCGUUACCCGCAGAAGAAGCACCGGCUAACUCCGUGCCAGCCGCCGCGGUAAUUC
rnacentral:rRNA from 1 species